AUUGAACGCUGGCGGCAGGCCUAACACAUGCAAGUCGAGCGGAUGAAGGGAGCUUGCUCCUGGAUUCCGCGGCGGACGGGGGAGGAAUGCCUAGGAAUCUGCCUGGUAGGGGGGGAUAACGUCCGGAAACGGGCGCUAAUAACGCAUACGUCCUGAGGGGGAAAGUGGGGGGUCUUUGGACCUCACGCUAUCAGAUGAGCCUAGGGCGGAUUAGCUAGUUGGUGGGGUAAAGGCCUACCAAGGCGACGAUCCGUAACUGGUCUGAGAGGAUGAUCAGUCACACUGGAACUGAGACACGGUCCAGACUCCUACGGGAGGCAGCAGUGGGGAAUAUUGGACAAUGGGCGAAAGCCUGAUCCAGCCAUGCCGCGUGUGUGAAGAAGGUCUUCGGAUUGUAAAGCACUUUAAGUUGGGAGGAAGGGCAGUAAGUUAAUACCUUGCUGUUUUGACGUUACCAACAGAAUAAGCACCGGCUAACUUCGUG
rnacentral:rRNA from 1 species